GAUGAUGCCAGCUUGCUGGUGGAUUAGUGGCGAACGGGUGAGUAACACGUGAGUAACCUGCCCUUGACUCUGGGAUAAGCCUGGGAAACUGGGUCUAAUACCGGAUAUGACUGACUAUCGCAUGGUGGUUGGUGGAAAGCUUUUGUGGUUUUGGAUGGACUCGCGGCCUAUCAGCUUGUUGGUGGGGUAAUGGCCUACCAAGGCGACGACGGGUAGCCGGCCUGAGAGGGUGACCGGCCACACUGGGACUGAGACACGGCCCAGACUCCUACGGGAGGCAGCAGUGGGGAAUAUUGCACAAUGGGCGCAAGCCUGAUGCAGCGACGCCGCGUGAGGGAUGACGGCCUUCGGGUUGUAAACCUCUUUCAGUAGGGAAGAAGCCGUAAGGUGACGGUACCUGCAGAAGAAGCGCCGGCUAACUACGUGCCAGCAGCCGCGGUAAUACGUAGGGCGCAAGCGUUAUCCGGAAUUAUUGGGCGUAAAGAGCUCGUAGGCGGUUUGUCGCGUCUGCCGUGAAAGUCCGGGGCUCAACUCCGGAUCUGCGGUGGGUACGGGCAGACUAGAGUGAUGUAGGGGAGACUGGAAUUCCUGGUGUAGCGGUGAAAUGCGCAGAUAUCAGGAGGAACACCGAUGGCGAAGGCAGGUCUCUGGGGCAUUAACUGACGCUGAGGAGCGAAAGCAUGGGGAGCGAACAGGAUUAGAUACCCUGG
rnacentral:rRNA from 1 species